AAUGGGGACAGUUGAGCAGGACAGUCAAGGGCAAUCCGGUGUAGUCCUCAAACCACGACUGCAACACAAACCGACAGUGGAAAAGAAACAGCCCAGUGCAGUGCAGCAUAGCACUGCAGUGAGAAACAGGAAGGCAGGGAUGGGAAGACAGAGGAAAAAAAGGGAGGGAGAUAUGGAAGAACAACAGAGAGGAAAUCUUAUGGGGAGGAGAGGAAAGCAAGGAAGAGAGAUGCCAAGGUGAACCUCAUCGACAAUUCUGAUAAGCAAAGAAGCCCUUAUUACAGUCUUGAGAUGCCCCAGUAUGCUACUUGGAAGAAAAAAGGGUAAAAAAAUAAGAUAAGAGCCAGAAAAACAUUUACAUAUAUUGCAUUAUCACUGCAUAGAGCUGAUAUGGAAUACUUGUUAGCAAACAAAUUCCUGUCGUAUUAUCCUGCAGACACUGCAAAAUUUCAAAUUGCAUGGGCAGUGACUAAACAUACAGUAAUGUGCAAAGCUAUUG